GAGGGUAUAGCUCAAUUGGUAGAGUGCAUGCUUAGCAUGCACGAGGUUGUGGGUUCAAUCCCCAGUACCUCCA
rfam:Camelus ferus unplaced genomic scaffold scaffold663, whole genome shotgun sequence.